rnacentral:rRNA from 1 species
UCCUACGGGAGGCAGCAGUGGGGAAUCUUGCACAAUGGAGGAAACUCUGAUGCAGCGACGCCGCGUGGACGAUGAAGCCCUUCGGGGUGUAAAGCUCUUUCACCCACGACGAUGAUGACGGUAGUGGGAGAAGAAGCCCCGGCUAACUUCGUGCCAGCAGCCGCGGUAAUACGAAGGGGGCUAGCGUUGUUCGGAGUUACUGGGCGUAAAGGGCGCGUAGGCGGCCUGAUCAGUCUGGUGUGAAAGCCCGGGGCUCAACCCCGGAAUUGCACUGGAGACGGUCAAGCUUGAGUGUGGGAGAGGAUGGUGGAAUUCCCAGUGUAGAGGUGAAAUUCGUAGAUAUUGGGAAGAACACCGGUGGCGAAGGCGGCCAUCUGGACCAUUACUGACGCUGAGGCGCGAAAGCGUGGGGAGCAAACAGGAUUAGAUACCCUGGUAGUCCACGCCGUAAACGAUGAGUGCUAGACGUCGGGGCCCUUAGGGCUUCGGUGUCGCAGCUAACGCAUUAAGCACUCCGCCUGGGGAGUACGGCCGCAAGGUUAAAACUCAAAGGAAUUGACGGGG